rnacentral:rRNA from 1 species
AGUGAACGCUGGCGGUAGGCCUAACACAUGCAAGUCGAACGGCAGCACAGUAAGAGCUUGCUCUUACGGGUGGCGAGUGGCGGACGGGUGAGGAAUACAUCGGAAUCUACUUUUUCGUGGGGGAUAACGUAGGGAAACUUACGCUAAUACCGCAUACGACCUACGGGUGAAAGCAGGGGAUCUUCGGACCUUGCGCGAUUGAAUGAGCCGAUGUCGGAUUAGCUAGUUAGCGGGGUAAAGGCCCACCAAGGCGACGAUCCGUAGCUGGUCUGAGAGGAUGAUCAGCCACACUGGAACUGAGACACGGUCCAGACUCCUACGGGAGGACGCAGUGGGGAAUAUUGGACAAUGGAGGAAAGCCUGAUCCAGCCAUACCGCGUGGGUGAAGAAGGCGUUCGGGUUGUAAAGCCCUUUUGUUGGGAAAGAAAAGCAGCAGGUUAAUACCCCGCUGUUCUGACGGUACCAAAAGAAUAAGCACCGGCUAACUUCGUG